CCCUUCCCCACAUUAUGAGAUCUACAAUCCCCUUCCUGUUAGGUACCCUCUCAUCACCAUAACAACCCACAUUCCAUAAAAAAACAGGGGAGCCAUUAAAGAGAGGCAGAAGGACAGAACUUUUGAUGCUGCUUUUUAGGUGUCCCAUUCAGAUACAUCACAAUCAUCUAGAAGACUGCCUGACAUACAUGAGCACUCAAUACAUAUCUGUUGAACACUGCUGAGUACAGGAACUGUAAGAGUUCAAAAAUCUUCUCAGAAGAAAAAAAUUAUUAAACUGUGAGAAAUUCAUUAAAAGGAUAUACAUAGUGUGCCAUGAGAACCCACAGGAGAGACAUCUGGAAACAUUCAAGGAAAGCUACUUCAUGAAGGUCAUGACUGAAUGAAAUGAGAAGGUAGCAGCAGAGAACAAAAUCCAACAAGGAAACAGCGUAGCACACGUUAACAGCUUUAAUUGGAGAACAGUUCCGCUGUUUUUUUUUUUUUUUUUUUUGCAAAGCAGUGAGAGGAAAAGAUCCUUUGACCGAGUCACGUGAUGCUUCUCACGUGACUUGCAGUGACCCGCGGAAAGGGAAAGGGGAAAAAAGCAAACAUUCCCGCUGUCAGCGUUUGGGAUAUAGUAAAUGAUUAAAUGGUUUCUACUGCUAAUGCCUUGAAUUUUGCGAUCAUUCAGACUUCCCCGUGAACUAACCCAAAAGCUCAUCAAAAUACAUGUACAGAAAUAUGUAUCUGCUGUAAAACCAUCCUUUUUGUUUUCACUUCCCUCCUAUAUGAUAGGCAUUAUCUUCUAAUUCAGUUUUUAUUAUUCAGUCUGCUACUUUCAUUUAUAAAAUUUGUUAUUUGUAACAUUUAUUAAUUGAGGAUUCGCUCUGAAAUGUCCUUCUGUAACUUGAUCCACUCUCCAUGCUUAACCAUUAAAGAAUGCCCACAGCACAAUUGUCUAUAGAAUAUUGGCUUGAUCAAUGUGUUCCUCAAACCUGGGUUUUAUGUCUCAGGCUGGCCUUUGCCU